UCCACAUCUGUGUUACAUUUGGUGAGAUGGAGAGGCCGGAGGGGCUCUGUGUGAAUGAAGGGGACAAGGAACAAAGUGGGAACAAAUGGUUUUUCUGAAAGCAUCAUGAUAGAUCCUGAAGUACUACUCAUUCAAUAUGAUUUUCAUAUCUGUUACAGUUGGGUUUAAUGUACGUGAUUAAUCUUGACUUGGCUUAAUACUGCUAGGAAUGUGGCAAUGACCUCAGCUGAACACUGGGAAAGUGAUUAAUGUUACAUGAACGGAGAGAUUUCUUACUCGAGAUCCUGAAUAAACACAGACAUGCUGUAUUCGGUUACAGACCUUUGCUCAAUUGAAAAUGGACCAUGGUUGGAAAGAAUAAUGUUUCAGAUGCAAUAAACAGCGUUAGAGGAAGCAUGGCUCUUGUUAAAGAAAAUGCUGUUUCAAGCUAAAGUCUUACUGAACAUAAAAGAUAUAUGAUGUAAUAAACAAAACGAACCACGGGCAAGAAAGAGCCAUUUGAUGACUAACCGCUGAUUGAAUUUUCCAACACGCUUGGACAUUUCUGUGAGAUAAACUAUUCACAAAAAGUCUGUGUUAAAUGUAAGCUUGUCAUUUCCUCCCCCUUUAACCUUUUCCCCCCUUAUUCUUUUUAAUACUGCGGUCCAACCCCGAUAUAUUUUCUGCUAUGAGUUGUUUGUGUUUUUGAAUUUUUUUAUGAUGUGAGAAGACAGGCAAACAGUUGCUAUGAUUGUCAAAUGGCUUAAAUCAAGUAGAGAAAAUGCAAUAAAACACUGUUUCCAUGGCAACACAUUGUAACCUACUACCUCUGGAUUAUGAGCCAGCUCACAUCUAUGAUCAUUAUUUGUUGACAGACAUAAAUUCAGCCUAAAAGCACUAAUUUCAUAGGAGGGAGGGAAAAAUACCCUUGGAAUGUUCAGCAACGAUAUAAUAAUGUUUAAAUAUUUUUGAGGCAUGACUGGCAUAUCAGCACUGGUUUACAGAGCCAUUUUAAUAUCUGGUGUUAAUAAAAUAAAUGAAAACACGCCGUUUAAUUUUUGGAUCUUUAAAACAGGGUAAUGAAUGUCUACUUAUCUAAGGCUGGGAACAAUCAUUGACAUGCAUUCUUCACAACUUAAAGAAAUUUGGUAGGUUGAAUAUUACAUGGUGAG
rnacentral:lncRNA from 11 species